AAAUUGAAGAGUUUGAUCAUGGCUCAGAUUGAACGCUGGCGGCAGGCCUAACACAUGCAAGUCGAACGGUAACAGGAAGCAGCUUGCUGCUUCGCUGACGAGUGGCGGACGGGUGAGUAAUGUCUGGGAAACUGCCUGAUGGAGGGGGAUAACUACUGGAAACGGUGGCUAAUACCGCAUAACGUCGCAAGACCAAAGAGGGGGACCUUCGGGCCUCUUGCCAUCAGAUGUGCCCAGAUGGGAUUAGCUAGUUGGUGAGGUAACGGCUCACCAAGGCGACGAUCCCUAGCUGGUCUGAGAGGAUGACCAGCCACACUGGAACUGAGACACGGUCCAGACUCCUACGGGAGGCAGCAGUGGGGAAUAUUGCACAAUGGGCGCAAGCCUGAUGCAGCCAUGCCGCGUGUAUGAAGAAGGCCUUCGGGUUGUAAAGUACUUUCAGCGGGGAGGAAGGUGUUGUGGUUAAUAACCGCAGCAAUUGACGUUACCCGCAGAAGAAGCACCGGCUAACUCCGUGCCAGCAGCCGCGGUAAUACGGAGGGUGCAAGCGUUAAUCGGAAUUACUGGGCGUAAAGCGCACGCAGGCGGUCUGUCAAGUCGGAUGUGAAAUCCCCGGGCUCAACCUGGGAACUGCAUUCGAAACUGGCAGGCUUGAGUCUUGUAGAGGGGGGUAGAAUUCCAGGUGUAGCGGUGAAAUGCGUAGAGAUCUGGAGGAAUACCGGUGGCGAAGGCGGCCCCCUGGACAAAGACUGACGCUCAGGUGCGAAAGCGUGGGGAGCAAACAGGAUUAGAUACCCUGGUAGUCCACGCCGUAAACGAUGUCUACUUGGAGGUUGUGCCCUUGAGGCGUGGCUUCCGGAGCUAACGCGUUAAGUAGACCGCCUGGGGAGUACGGCCGCAAGGUUAAAACUCAAAUGAAUUGACGGGGGCCCGCACAAGCGGUGGAGCAUGUGGUUUAAUUCGAUGCAACGCGAAGAACCUUACCUGGUCUUGACAUCCACAGAACUUUCCAGAGAUGGAUUGGUGCCUUCGGGAACUGUGAGACAGGUGCUGCAUGGCUGUCGUCAGCUCGUGUUGUGAAAUGUUGGGUUAAGUCCCGCAACGAGCGCAACCCUUAUCCUUUGUUGCCAGCGGUCCGG
rnacentral:rRNA from 1 species